UACAGAGGAGGCAAGCGUUAUUCGGAAUCAUUGGGCUUAAAGCGCGUGUAGGCGGCUACGUAAGUGUCCUGUGAAAUCUCAUGGCUCAACCAUGAAACGGCAGGGCAAACUGCGUGGCUUGAGGUCGGUAGGGGUGCUCGGAACUCUAGGUGGAGCGGUGAAAUGCGUAGAUAUCUAGAGGAACGCCAGAGGCGAAAGCGGAGCACUGGGCCGAUUCUGACGCUGAGACGCGAAAGCGUGGGGAGCAAACAGG
rnacentral:rRNA from 1 species